rnacentral:rRNA from 1 species
AUUGAACGCUGGCGGCAUGCCUUACACAUGCAAGUCGAACGGCAACACGGGAGCAAUCCUGGUGGCGAGUGGCGAACGGGUGAGUAAAGUAUCGGAACGUGCCCAGUCGUGGGGGAUAACGUAGCGAAAGUUACGCCAAUACCGCAUACGAUCUAUGGAUGGAAGCGGGGGAUCGCAAGACCUCGCGCGAUUGGAGCGGCCGAUAUCAGAUUAGGUAGUUGGUGGGGUAAAGGCUCACCAAGCCGACGAUCUGUAGCUGGUCUGAGAGGACGACCAGCCACACUGGGACUGAGACACGGCCCAGGCUCCUACGGGAGGCAGCAGUGGGGAAUUUUGGACAAUGGGCGCAAGCCUGAUCCGGCCAUGCCGCGUGCAGGAUGAAGGCCUUCGGGUUGUAAACUGCUUUUGUACGGAACGAAAAGGUUUGACUUAAUACGUUGGACUCAUGACGGUACCGUAAGAAUAAGCACCGGCUAACUACGUGCCAGCAGCCGCCGUAA